ensembl:misc_RNA
UUGACAGCCCUAGAGACGAAAGUCCUCUAACAUCUAUAGAACCUGGAUAGCAUGGGCAGCAGCACUGCAAUCUUCUCCAUGCCAGUCUUCCAUUAGACCCAAAGAGUACUCUGCCAGGCUUUAGGAUUAAUUUAGUCUCCAUGGCCAUUACAUUUUUUGCCUUGA